CUUUUUACAUUUUUUACAGAGACAAGGAUCUUACUAUAUUACCCAGGCUGGUCUCAAACUCCUGACCUUCAAGUCAUCCUCCUGCCUCUGCCUCCAGAGUAGCUGGGAUUACAGAUAUGAGCCGCUACACCUGCCCCUUGCCAAAGGGUCCCAUCCACCAACCCCCUGGUGGAGCCUCACUUCGUCUGGAUGGCUGGAGGGGCCUGAAGCCAAGGAGAACAUGGAGAAACAGGCGAGUGCCCCCACACAGCAGACACCAGCGCAUUUUAAAGAUGUUUCCACUUUAUAAAUCAUCCUUUUCUGGCAGCCACCGAGAGCCGCUCCCCCAACAACACACACGGAGCCCAACGUAGUGCUUUCCCGUUGGCCAGAGAUGGGGAUGGAAACAGAAGAGCGGCGCCCCUGGGAUGAAA
rnacentral:lncRNA from 1 species